AACAAACAAACGCAAACAGGAAACAGAAUGCUAAUAGAUGGACUUAUAUCCGACUCCAAACAAACAAACACAAACAGGAAACAGAAUGCCAAUAGAUGGACUUAUAUCCGACUCCAAACAAAAACCAACAAAAAAGAAAAGGGGGAAAGGGUGCCACACACAGACUAAAAAAAGAAAAGAGUGCAAACACAAAACAAAGAAAAGAAAAGAGUGCAAACAUAAAACAAAGAAA
rnacentral:lncRNA from 1 species